rnacentral:rRNA from 1 species
UACGUAGGGGGCAAGCGUUGUCCGGAAUCAUUGGGCGUAAAGCGCGUGUAGGCGGUUCGGUAAGUCGGCUGUGAAAGUCCAGGGCUCAACCCUGGGAUGCCGGUCGAUACUGCCGGACUAGAGUUCGGAAGAGGCGAGUGGAAUUCCCGGUGUAGCGGUGAAAUGCGCAGAUAUCGGGAGGAACACCAAUGGCGAAGGCAGCUCGCUGGGACGUUACUGACGCUGAGACGCGAAAGCGUGGGGAGCAACAG